UACGUAGGGUGCGAGCGUUGUCCGGAAUUACUGGGCGUAAAGAGCUCGUAGGUGGUUUGUCGCGUUGUCCGUGAAAACUCACAGCUCAACUGUGGGCGUGCGGGCGAUACGGGCAGACUGGAGUACUGCAGGGGAGACUGGAAUUCCUGGUGUAGCGGUGGAAUGCGCAGAUAUCAGGAGGAACACCGGUGGCGAAGGCGGGUCUCUGGGCCGUAACUGACGCUGAGGAGCGAAAGCGUGGGGAGCGAACAGG
rnacentral:rRNA from 1 species